rnacentral:tRNA from 1 species
GGGCCCGUUGCAUAGCCUGGAACGACUCUCAGGAGUCUUGGGCACUUAUUGCGCCGCUCUGAUAAGGCGGAGGCCGUGCGAUCGAAGCGCACCGGGCCCACCA